AGAAAUCUGACAAUGUUUGCCUAAACAACAAACUUCACAGAGGCUUGAUGAUUUUAUUGAAUUACUAGGCAAACAAAACUUAUUAACAAUAAAGGAGACAGUUGAUUGUUGAGGAUGAUCAAGCCGAGCAUGCCAAUCAGGUGCAGCAGUCCGAACGAAUUUAAAAACCUUGGUCUGGCCUGUAAGGUCAUUGGAUGCAACAAUAAGAAGCCUAUAAACACCGUCAAAAGCUGGUCCCUUCAACAAAACCUGUUUAUUUGUCUAAUUCUUCACACUAAACCCAUCAGAGUCAAAUUUAAGGAAGUAGUGAUUGUCUUUGGCAAAUUUAUUAACAGACAAUAAUUGUUGUUGUAGGGCAGGCACAUGUAAAACAUUUUUCAAAUGAAACUGACUAUUACUAGAAGAUAGGGUAGUGUGACUAAUGUUUUUAAUAUGCAAACCAUGUCCAUUACCUAUAGUGACCACCCUUUGUACUCCUCUGAGAUUUCAAGUGCAGACAAAUCAGGAGUCAUGUGAUGAGAAGCAGCAGUGUCAAGAAACCAAUCAUUGGAAGAAACAUUUACUUUUGUGGCAUUGGCUGUGAUAUUAUCACGAUUAUAACGCUUGCGACACCACUUAGCUUGAUGAUUGUUGAGUCCACAGAUCUGACAAGGAGUAGGAAACCACUUUUUGUUUCCAGUUGAGGACGCACCAUUAUUUUUGUAACCAUUGUUUGCCUGGAGGCUCUGAUUAGAUGAAGUGUGUUGUCGAGCAACAUUGGCAACAACAGAGAUUGGUUUGCCAGAGUUCUGCAAGAGGAUCGGAAAAUGAUACCUGUGACAGGAUGAUAAUCAGAGGGAAGUAAGCGAAAAAUAGUGGCAUUGAAUUCAUCAGAAGAUACAGGUGUGCCAGCUGCAGCAAGCUCGUCAGCAAUAGCUUUAGCUUCGCGAAGAAAUUGAGCCAGUGGUUUGUCACCAAGAGUCAUGUUUUGCAAGGUGAUGUGUAAUUGGACUCUUCUAGCACUGUUGCUUAUGCCAAAUGUAUUUGAAAAAGCCAUCCAAGCUUCAAAGGCAGUAUCUAAACCAGUCACAUAAGGAAAAAUUUCCACAGUUAAAGAUGAUAAGAUCCAACUUAGUAAGAGUUGGUCUUCUUGUAACCACUCUAGAUAAUCAGAAUUUGGUCCUAAUUGAUUUGUUGUGGCAUUAAUUAUGGUGGAAGGAGGUGUCGGUGUACCAUUGAUAUGAUUGAAUAGAUUAUAACAUUUGAUGAUAGGAACAAAUUGAGUUUUCCAAGUCAGGUAGUUUAUUGGUUUAAGUCUUAUGGAAAAAGAAAGUUGAGCAUGAGGUAAAGUAGCAAAAAGACUUGGAGUGGUUUAUGUCGUUGAUGCUGUAGAGGUGGAAUUUGAAUGUUGAGAAGAAGUUGAUUCCAUGGUAGGCUCUGGUACCAUGUUAUAAGAUGAGAUAAUUGAGAGAAUUCUGUGUGUUUUCUAUUGAAUAGGAUAACUGAAUAUAUACACGGUUGUUUAUAACAAACUGCAAAAGAAUAGGGAGAUAUAGCUAACGUAUAACACUAACCCAUGUAUCCUAAAAUAUAGCUAAUUGAACUUAUCUAUCCUACUUUAUCUCUAACAGGGAAUAACAUUACUUGUCUGUUCCCGAUUGUUUUGGUCAAAGAGGCAUUCACUACGUUUAUAACAGUGGGACUACCUUCAAUAAGAUGAAACUUUUAUGAAAAGCAAGAAAACUUCAAAUAUUUGACUUUGGAGGGGGUUUGCUGGAGGAGAUUUUUUUGUCUCGUCCUUUAAAUAAAAUGGUUAACAGAUAUACAAGCAUUACCAAAAGUAAAAAAUCUAGCUAAACAUUAACAUACACUGAACAUUUUAAUGUAAUAGGUCAAAUGAUUAUGUCUUAUGUAAGUCUAACAUGAGCGACGAUGAGGUAAAGUGCUGAUAUUAUUACCUUUUCCAAUGCCUUUUGCACCCCAAAUUUCUGAGUUGAUAUAAAUGAAUUCAGAUAAACGCGAAUUGCCAGUGUUUUUCAACCAAUUUAUGGAAUUCGACAAAAGUAGAGAGAACCUCAUUUUUUUGUUUAAUUGGAAAUAACCAACAAUAACGAGAAAAGUCAUCCACAAAUAGAACAAAAUACUCUCCAUAAAAGGAUAAGUUGGGAGCUGGACCCCAUACAUCUCCAUGAAUCAAUUCCAAUUGUUUACUAGCAAUAGAACCAGUGAUAGGUAAAGAAAUCUGACAAUGUUUGCCUAAACAACAAACUUCACAGAGGCUUGAUGAUUUUAUUGAAUUACUAGGCAAACAAAACUUAUUAACAAUAAAGGAGACAGUUGAUUGUUGAGGAUGAUCAAGCCGAGCAUGCCAAUCAGGUGCAGCAGUCCGAACGAAUUUAAAAACCUUGGUCUGGCCUGUAAGGUCAUUGGAUGCAACAAUAAGAAGCCUAUAAACACCGUCAAAAGCUGGUCCCUUCAACAAAACCUGUUUAUUUGUCUAAUUCUUCACACUAAACCCAUCAGAGUCAAAUUUAAGGAAGUAGUGAUUGUCUUUGGCAAAUUUAUUAACAGACAAUAAUUGUUGUUGUAGGGCAGGCACAUGUAAAACAUUUUUCAAAUGAAACUGACUAUUACUAGAAGAUAGGGUAGUGUGACUAAUGUUUUUAAUAUGCAAACCAUGUCCAUUACCUA
rnacentral:lncRNA from 1 species